rnacentral:rRNA from 1 species
AUUGAACGCUGGCGGCAUGCUUUACACAUGCAAGUCGAACGGCAGCGCGGGCUUCGGCCUGGCGGCGAGUGGCGAACGGGUGAGUAAUGCAUCGGAACGUGCCCAGUAGUGGGGGAUAGCCCGGCGAAAGCCGGAUUAAUACCGCAUACGACCUGAGGGUGUAAGCGGGGGACCGAAAGGCCUCGCGCUCUUGGAGCGGCCGAUGUCGGAUUAGCUAGUUGGUGGGGUAAAGGCUUACCAAGGCGACGAUCCGUAGCUGGUCUGAGAGGACGACCAGCCACACUGGGACUGAGACACGGCCCAGACUCCUACGGGAGGCAGCAGUGGGGAAUUUUGGACAAUGGGGGCAACCCUGAUCCAGCCAUGCCGCGUGCGGGAAGAAGGCCUUCGGGUUGUAAACCGCUUUUGUUCGGGAAGAAAUCCUCUGGGCUAAUACCCCGGGGGGAUGACGGUACCGGAAGAAUAAGCACCGGCUAACUACGUG